ACGGUGGCCCUAAAGUGCAAAACACAACAGCAAAAAGAGAAAAAACAAUGGCAAAUAAGAAAACACAACGGUUAAUGUCAUUGUGGGUUUUUUUUUUCUUAUUUUUGCCGUAGUGUUUUGCACCUCAGGGCCACCGUA